AUUCAGCUGACGAGUCUCGAAUAGGAUGAAACGUAUGUCAAACUGGAU
rnacentral:hammerhead_ribozyme from 1 species